CAAAAACCUGUCCAAUCGUUGACGGUCAUCCCUGCAGCAAUGACCUCGCUGCCUCUGUUGACAGUUCCAGCGACAAGAGGUACUUGAAGAAGCGUUGAAAGUUCGUCUAGGUCUUCGACUGACGUAUGAGGAUGAACCUGUUUCAAGAUGAUACAGAGGAGAUGCAGUUUGUUUUAAAAUCCUGGUAAGAUUGGACAAAUGACAUAAAAUUUCCCUAGGGUUUUAAAGAGGUAAAUUUCAUACA